AAUGAACGCUGGCGGUAUGCUUAACACAUGCAAGUCGAACGAACAAAGCUGGAGCUUGCUUCAGUGGCGUGAGUGGCAAACGGGUGAGUAACACGUGGGAAUCUACCCAUCAGUACGGAAUAACAUUUGGAAACAAAUGCUAAUACCGUAUAUUCUCUACGGAGGAAAGAUUUAUCGCUGAUGGAUGAGCCCGCGUAAGAUUAGGUAGUUGGUGGGGUAAUGGCCAGCCAAGCCGACGAUCUUUAGCUGGUCUGAGAGGAUAAUCAGCCACACUGGGACUGAGACACGGCCCAGACUCCUACGGGAGGCAGCAGUGGGGAAUAUUGGACAAUGGGCGAAAGCCUGAUCCAGCAAUACCGCGUGAAUGAUGAAGGCCCUAGGGUUGUAAAGUUCUUUUAAUAGGGAAGAUAAUGACGGUACCUAUAGAAAAGCCCCGGCUAACUCCGUGCCAGCCG
rnacentral:rRNA from 1 species